rnacentral:lncRNA from 1 species
UCGAUCAGAUCGAUCUUUCCGUCCGAGUUGACGUCUUGCUCGCUCGCGCUGAUGUCCACGCUCGCGAGGUGCUUCGCGUGGAGCUGGUUCACCGACGCCAUCGUGCUCCACACCCUGUACUUGGACGUCUGGUUCGUCUCGAAGAUCAUCAGCGCGUCGUACUUGAAUCGCACGCUCGGCUGGACGAUGUACGAGUGCGUCUUGACCCACAGACCGCCGACGGUGAGGCAGACGGUGAACGCGAGGACGAACGAGACGACUGUCGCGUCGGCGGGGAAGGGGAGAGAGGGAGGGAGGGGGGAGGGAGGGAUGAGGGGCGAAGGGUCGGUCAGUCGACGGAAUCGAGUCGCGGCGGACGGAGAACGAACGACGCGAGGGAGGGUCGUUGGUGACUUUAUUUUUCAAAUCGACGCGGCCCGCGGGGACGACGCGUCGCGAGGGCGACGACGAACGUUCCGGAGAGACGACGACGCGCGCGCGCGACGCGCGUGGACCGUCCCGAUGGCGAUAUCGCGCGAGGGACGCGUCGUCGCGUGCGCGCGACGGGGACGCACUUAUGCACAGCGGCCGGUACAGGAAUCCGACCGAGAGAUACGGCGCGUAGUGCCGCCUCGCGAACGGCUCCGUGUACACCUGCACCAUGUUCGCUCUUCUCUACUCGAGUCUUCCCGCGGCUUCUUCCGCUCCGUUCGCGGUUCGCGUCCUUCGCGCGCGGAGGUGUGUGGCGCUCGCGUGGGCGUGCGACGGCGCGUCCGCGUGUGAUGGAGGACCGCGGGCGCGCGAGAUGUCGCUCCAAACGGACUCUUACCUUUUUCAAAUCCGCGCGGUCGGCGAUCGGUGAGACGGGCGGUCGCUCAUCGAUACACUCGUAUGAGCGUUGACCCUCGGGACUGGAUGAAAGCCGGGUCGUGUCAGGUCGCCUCGAAAACUCCACCGACCGAGUCCCUUCCCGUGCUCGACGCGCGCCUCGGGCCAGACCGCGCCGCGCCGCGCGCGCCGGGCGACGCGACGAGACGCGCGAUGGCGCGAGCGCGCGCGCGUCGUCGGCGCGACGUCCGCGCGGUCGCAGUCGUCGUCGUCGGCCUCCUCGCCGCGCUCGCGUCUCCGCGCGCCGUCGCCGCGGCGGAGGCGGAGUCCGUCGCGUCCGUCGCGUCCGUCGCGCCGUCGCCCUCGGUCGCCGAGCUCGCGUGCGCGACCGCGAGGAACGGCACGAUGUGGUGCGGCGACGCGUGCGCCGCGCGAUGCGAGCUCGAGAUCGAGUAUCGCGUCCUCGACGUCACCGCGGUCGCGCCCGCGCCGUCCACCGCCGACGCGACGACGACGACGACGACGACGACGACCGAGUAUCGCUUCGUCGUCGACUACGGGAUACGGAACCACGGAGAGACGAACGACCUGAGCAGCUGGCAGACGUCUUGGGUCUUCGCCGCUAACGAGGGCAUCCGCCGCGGCGACGACGGCGGGUGGAUGACCGCGGUGAGCUCGGACGUCGGCAUACUCGUGCAGCCCGGCGGCGUGGGCGGGCGGCCGACGCGCGUCGUCAACGCCUUCGGCGCGGGCGUCGUGCCCGCCGCCGGGGGGCACAAGACGUUCUCGUUCGCGGGGUACGGCGCGAGCGACGGCGGCGGCGGCGGCGACGGCGCGGCGUGGGAGCCGGGGGAGACGACGGAGGUGACGCUGAACGGCGCGCGGUGCGUCGCGCUCGUCGACGCGGCGGCGGCGGCGGCGGCGGCGGCGGCGGCGGCGGCGGCGGCGGCGGCGUGUCCGUCCGCGGCGUCGACGCGUCUUCAUCGUCGGUUCUGCUGCGGGGAGGCGCUUCGCGUGGGGUCCACCGCCGGAUCGCCGCCGCCGCCGCUCCCUUCGACGCCGCUCCCUUCUUCGACGGAGAAGACCGAGGGAGAUGGCGAGGGAGACAACGCGUGGUGGGACGGAUGGAAGCGGAUGAACGACGAGAGCUCGUUCGCGGCUGUCAUUCUCGCGUGCGCGGGCGCGUUCGCGUGCUGCUGCGGCGCCGUCGCGUGGAGCGUUCGAGCGCGAAUACCCGUGGGGCCCGUCGUCGCGAGCGCGAGCGGCGGUGAUGCCCGCGGUGAUGCCCGCAGUAACGCUCGAAAACGCACGCUGUUGUUACCCGGCCAGAGCGUCGCGACCGCGGACGCGGACGCGCGCGGCGUCGUCCUCGCCGGCGGCGCGGACUGGCAGUGCUGGACCGUCGCGGGGGGCGCGCGAACCGUCGCGACCGCGUCGAAGCUGAGCUUUGACCGACCCGACGACGCGUACGCGACGCCGCCGUCGAGCCCCCCGCGCGCGCGCUACGCCACGGUGCCCCCCAGGGGACGGCCGAGGACGGCGGGCGCCGACGACGCGUCCGCCGCCGCGAGAGAGGAGGACCCGCGCGAGAUCGACGAGAUCGAGCUCGACGACAUCGAGCUCGGCGCGUUGCUCGGCCGGGGCGCGUACGGCACCGUGCACCGCGGGUCGUGGCGUCGAGCGCGCGGCGGCGGCGACGAAGCAGAAGCAGAAGCAGAAGCAGAAGCAGAAGUCGUCGCCGUGAAGACGCUGCACGCGGUCGCGGGCGCGUCGGAGAGGGAGCUGCGUACGUUCGCGCGCGAGGUGGCGGUGUUGUCGCGGCUGAGCCAUCCGUGCGUCGUUCGGCUGCUGGGCGCGUGCACGCGACCGCCGAGGGUGUGCAUCGUCGAGGAGCUCAUGCGCGGCGGGUCGCUGUACGACCGCAUACACGGCCACGGCGGGGGCGGCGGCGGCGGAGGAAGCGACGGUUCGUGUCGCGGAGGAAGCGACGGUUCGUGUCGCGACGGCGACGGCGACGCGUUCGGCGACGGGAGAGGACGACGACUGACGUUCGUCGAGACGAUGCGCGUCGCGUCGGACGUCGCCGCGGCGAUGUCGUACCUCGCGCGCGAGAAGGUCGUGCACCGAGACUUGAAGUCGCACAACGUGCUCCUGACGUCCGCGCGCGGCGGCGGCGACGCGGCGAGCGACCAUCGAACGACGCGAGGGGAGCGCGGGGACGGUCCCGAACGCGGGGUGUGGGCGAAAGUCGCGGACUUUGGCAUCGCGCGCGCGAAGGGUCACACGAUGCUGCAGACGACGCGUGGCGCCACCGCGAACGGAAAAGGCGACGCGGGCACGCCCGCGUACAUGGCCCCCGAGCUCUUCCGCGGGGAUAAAUGCGACGAGAAAUGCGACGUGUACAGCUUUGGCGUCGUGUUGUGGGAGUGCGUCACCGGGAGAGCGCCGUGGGCGUGGUUGUCGAACCAGAUGCAGAUCAUCUUCGCCGUCGCCGUCGAGGGACGGCGGCUUCCGAUGCGCGAAGGGGAGUGCCUCGCCAGCGAGUUGACGUCGCUGAUGUUCGAGUGCUGGCGCGAGGAGCCGCGCGAGCGCCCGGCGUUUAGUCACAUAGAGGAGCGCGUCGCGGCGAUGCGAAGACGGCUGUCGAGUCUUUGACGCGGAGGCGGGCGGGCGCGGCGUCGAACAACUUACCCUCGCGAUCCAAAUAACAUUACCCUCGCGUCGCUCGAGCGUCGAGUCGCGUCACAGCUCGUCCGCCCCCGCCGCAGCCUUCUUCGCUCUCUUCGCUUUCUUCCCCUUCUUGACGCCCUCCUUCCUCUUCACCCACAGACCGUUCUCCUUGGGCUCGUACACCUUCAAAAACUCCGGGGAGCCGAUCGCGCCCGGAUACGGCACCUGAUCUUUGAACGGCGCCAUCAUCCCGACGAAGGAAGCCGUCUUCACGCUCUCGCGGUUGUGCUUGAACGCCUCGUCGUUCUUCAGGUCGUCCGCGCCGCGCAACGGCGGCCGCGCGCCCGCCGCCCACGACGCGUCCAUCGUCUCCACCUUGCCGUCCCUCUCCAUCUUCGUCGCGAACGAGAGGACGCGUUUGCCGACGCUCUCGGCGAGGCCCGUCGCGUUCGCGGCGGCGACGUCCUCGCUCAAGUCGUGGAACGCCGUCCCGAACAGCAGCGAGACCGGGUCGAAGUACGCGAAGUAGACUUGGUUCUUCGUCUCGAGCUUCUUCUUCGCGUGAGCGCGCCCGUCGUCGUCGCCGACGCCGAGCAUGUGAAGCAUCGCGACGAGCUCCUGCUCGGGAACGUUGAGGUGGAACAACGCGCCCGCGCCGUUGCGUUUAAGCGCGGCGCCCGCGGCGAGGAGCCCCCGCUCCACGGCCGCGUCGUCCAUGUCGACCGAGUUUUCUUCCGUCGUCGCGAACAUGAUCUUCGGCCACUGGCUCUUGGCCGCGAUGCGCGCGCGCUGGACCUCGUUCGCGUACCCGCGCUCUUCCGGGAACGGCGGGAACUUGAAGUAGUGCGGCUGCACGUUGACGAAGAUCCAGGCGGUCAGGUUCGACGCCGCCCACGGGAUCGACCCCGCGGUCGCGUCGCUUUCGUCCCCGUCCCGGUCGCGUCCGACCACCUUCAGCGGCAUCGCCUGCCCUUGCGCUUUCCCGCGCACACGCGGGCGGACCUUCCCGUCGCUCAGGCCGUGGAACAGGUACAUCUCGGGAGGCUCGCGGACGUUCGGAUCGUACGUCUCCUCCGUCGUCGCGCGCGCCUCCGCGUAGAAGUGCACGUCGUCGAAGCCGUGCGCCGCGAACGUUCUCUCCGCGUCCUGGAAGAUCGCGUACUCGGGCGUGGAGACGUCGUCCACGCGCGCGACGACCGCGAGCAGAUCGCCCUCGGUCUGUGGAGUCGGGAGGAGGGGAGAGAGGGGGGGUUCCGGUCGUCGUCAGAUCGAAUCGAGAUCGCGCGCGAGGGAGAGAUGGGAUGGAAAUUCGUCCAUCGAUCGAUCGACUCGCGGACGACGGCGGGGUCGGGGAGAGCGCGCCUCUUCGAUGAUCGCAUCGAGCUCGUCCUGGUCCGAGAUGAUCUCCACCGCGACGACGGCGUGGACGAAGCACGCGAGGAGCGCGAGGAGCGCGAGGAGCGCGGGGCGGGGCGCGACGCGCGCCAUUCUCUGUGCCGGGCCGACGCUUCGACGCGCGUCGAAAAAUCCGACGGAUCGAUGCGAUGUCCGACACGCAGCAUGCCUCGCCGCGGGCUCCUCGACUUCCACUCCUCGACGCGCCGCGGCGCGGCGACUGGCGCGCGCUCCCCGAGGCGCGCGCGGCGAGGCGAGGCGACGAAAGAUGUCGCCGGCGCCGCGGACACCCCGCGCGCCGCGACGACGCCAUCCCGGCGCCGCCGCCCUCGCGCUGCUCGCCGUCGCGAUCGCGACGCGCGCGAGAUCUGCCUCCGCGCUCGCGUCGCCCGCGAACGCCGCCGCCGACGCGCGGCACCGCGUCCGACGCGCGUCCUCCCCGCGCCGCGAGUGGCACCCCGCCGCCGUCGCGGCGAGCGCGGAGUGGCGCGAAGACGAGGUCGGGCUCGGGACGCACGAGACGUGCGACACGUGCGCGCGAUGUCUCCUCGAUCCCGCCCCGCCGUCGUUUCGCAACCCGAACGCGCCGCGGGCGGACCCGAAGACCGGCCUCGUGCACUGCGAGAAGUGCCUGGGGUGCAACGUCAUCUUAUCGCGGAUGAACGCGACGACGAGGAUGAAGGGCGAGGACGUGAAGAUCUUCACCGGCGCGUCCGGGGCGGCGGUCAUGCGCGGCGUGACGGCGACGCGCGGCGACGUCUUCGUCAAGGCGUGGUGCGGCCUCGUGGGCGGGUACCGACAGACCCCGCUCAACGAUCCCAUACCGGAGGAGUGCCACGACGCCCCCGGCGAGAUGGAGAAGGACGCGGAGAUGGCGAAGUGCAAGAGGAAAGGCGGCGUGUUCGGGUACGGCGAGUGCAACUUCAAGUUUCUCAACGCGCUCGACGCGCUCGCGGCGGAUGCCAAUCUCUCCGCCGCGACGCCGAGGUCCUGGACGGAUGAGAUUCGGUCGUUCCUUCCCACCGCCCCGGACGACCCGUCGUCCUGGUCCAAGGUCGCGACGCGCGCGCAGCUGUACGAGGUCGUGGACGGGGUCUCCGUCGAGGCGUUCUACGCCCCCGGGAUGACGCGGAAAGCGCUGGAGGUGACGAGGAGCGUGCCGCGGGAGGACGUCCUCCGGUGCGCGACGUUCGACUUGCUCUUCAGCGAGCAGGACCGGCACGGGCAGAACGUGUUCGUGUCUGAGACUGGUCGGCUGCGCGUGUUGGACAACGAGGGCGCGUUCGGGUCGGUGAACUCGAUGUUCCUCCCCGGCGGUCAGAAGUUCGAGGUGUACAGGAUCGGGUACGCGGCGGUGUGUUGCGGGAAUUACCCCGGAGGCGCGGAGAAGAAUUGUCCGGGGAAGAUAGAUCCCAUCUCCGCGCCCGAGGUGCUCAUGGACUACCGCUGCCACGUCCCGGGCGGGUUCGUAGGCACCGCGUUCCCGCCCGGCGUGGAGCCGUUCCUGCGACGCAUAGACGCGAUGACCGAGGACGAGGUGUUCGAACGCUACGGCAUGAGUCACAGGGAGCACGCGGGGACGUUGAAGCGCCGCGUCGCGGACGCCGUCGACGGCGGCUUCGAACGCGCGCUCAUGGCGGCGUACGCUCGGCAAGAGCCAGGCGACGGGAUAAGGUACGGAAACGACUUCAGCUACGGGAUAAACCCGGCGUGCUGCGGCGUCGGUCUCGAGCACUGCGCGGUGCGCGCGCCCGAGGAGACGGCGCGGUUGCCGAGGGAGGAGAGAGUCGCGAGGGCGGGGGAGGAGUACGAGCCUGGGCCGCUCGCGACGCGGCUGUGGCGCGGGCCGGUGCGAGGCGCGCUGCACGUGAAGAACGCGACGCACGGGAGGAAGUUGUUGCGCGGGGGGUACGCGUACGUGUAGUAGUCGGGGUAGCGCGCGACGAUAGCGGGGCGGGAGGCGGCGGACAGCCUGCGCGUUUUAGGGUCCUUUUGAAAGGGAACGCGAUCAAAUGUUGAAACCGAGGUAUGGGUGAAAAACGUUAUGAGCUGAUCGCACUAUCUCAGCUCAGACGCUUUUCACGAGCCUCGUGUAUCCAUAAACCUACGUGUCGCUGUCGUCACACUCGCCGAGCGCAUCUGGCGAGCGCACGGAGGAUGACGACCGCGGCGCGGUCGUUCGCGGUCGCCCGCGCGGGCGCACGCGCGACCGUGUCCGCGAGCCGGCGCGUCGCGGCGGCCUCGAACCCGCGCGCGGCGCGGGAGCACGCCGCGCGCGUCCUCGGAAUCGCGUCGACGAAAAGCGCGCGCGAGCGCGGCGCUCCUCGGCGCGCGUCCGCGCGCGCGCGCGCCUCCUCGGACGACGACGACGACGCGCAGACCGAAGCGGAGAAGCAGCGCCUCGCGCAGGGGGAGUUCGAGCGGCUGCGGAGCCUCCCCCUCGCGGACGAGGGCGCGAGAGAGAAGCUCGAGUCCGUGCAGGGCGUCGAGGGCGUCCCGCAAGCCAUCAUCGAGGCGGAGCGCAAGUCGAAACCCUUGCGACGGUACCGGCUCGCGUCGUACGCGCUCGCGUCGUGCGUCGCCGCCGCGCAGAUGGUCGCGGUCAUCCAGGCUGGCGUGGAAGCGUGGCCGGAGUGGCAGAGCGAGGCCCCGGUGAAGAUAUUCAUGGACGUCGUCGUCAUCAUGUCCGGGUCGCUGCUGUGGCGCGUCGAGCUGCAGAAUCGCGCGGAGAGUCUGAAGGCGAUCUGGAAGAAGGCGGCGUUUCGCGAGGAGAGCCUCACGAGAGCGGAGGCGGGGUUGGGCGACACGCUGUGGACGUCGCGGAUGCGGAAGCGGCAGAAAGGCGACACGUGAGCGACCGCGUCGCGUCGAGCGCGUAGGGGGCGGCGAGCGUGGGUAGCGUAUUCGCGACGCUUCGACUAUCGACGAGAAGGGCUGACUAAACGAUCGAUCGCUCUCGUCUCCGUUCCGUUCACGCGUCGGCUCGCGGAGGCGCGUCGUCUUCCUCCCCGCUCCCGCUCCUCCCCAUCUCCUCCUCGACCGCGCGCGCCCGCGCUCGCAUCGACUCCACGAGGCCGUCCACGCGCGACGACUCGACCCCCGUCGCGCGCAGCAGCUCCCCCGCGUCCCGAAACAGCGCCUCGCCGAAAUCCGCCGACCCCGCGCCGAAAGGAGACGACCAGGACGGCGCGCGCUCCCCGCGCUCCCCGCGUCGACGGCCCCUCGCGGGGCUCCGCCGCGGGCUGCCGCCGGGACCGGUCUCGCCGUCGUCGCUGUCGCUGCGCUCGAACGUGUCGUCCGCCGCGUACGGGUCGUCCGAGAGCUCCUCCGCCGCGGUGAGGAUCUCCUCCGCUGCGUCGACGCCGAUGACCCGCUCCAACGUCCUCACCGCCUCGCGCGCCAACGCCGCGCCCGCGUCGUUCGGCGUCCCGUCCUUCCGGGAACGUCGUCCCGGCAGCACGUGCUGGACGAGGACGCCCAAGAACACGAUGCACCGCUGCACGAGCUCGGUGGGCUCUUCCUCGCCGCCCUCGACGGCGAGCCACGGGACGAGGCGCUCGGCGACGACGCGGAGGCCGCCGCGCGCGACGAAAUCGCGUUGCCGCGUCUCGCCGUCCGCGAGGAGCGCGAGCAACGCCUCGAGGGCUUCGCACUGGAUCUCUUCCUGCGACGGCUGCCCGAACUCUGCGUUCGGGUCGGCGCACGUCCACCCGACCUGCAUGUUCUUCGGGGUCUCGCCGUCUUUCGGAGGGCCGUCCGGAUACCGUAUCAUGAACGGCGGCUCCCUCUUCUUUUUCUUCUUCUUCUUCUUCUUCUUCUUCUUCGUCUUCUCCGAAGCCUCGCCGUCGCCGUCGCCGUCGCCGUCGCCGUCUGCCUCCUCCUCCUCCUCGUCGUCGUCGUCCUCCUCCUUCUUGCCGUCGCCCCCGUUACCCGCCCACCCUCCGGUGUCGUUCCACCGCUUCAGCUCGCGCGCGAUCGCCCCCGCGGUCGUCCCGGGGUCAGGGUCCGGGACGCCGUCGACGAGACACCGCAACAGCGCCUCCACGGCGCCGUGCUCGCCCGCGUCGUUUUUACUCCGCGGCGCCCAUAUCCAGAUGCCACGUAGUAACCGCAGCGCCGCGAGCGUUUCCGCCCGCGUCGGCGGGUCCGCCAGCUCGUCGUUCGCGUACUUCACCGGGUCCUGUCGAUUUUUUUGCUUCUCCGCGAUGGCCCUCGCGCGAAAGGUGACGUCCAACACGUUUCGCACGUGGUCCGCGUCCGUGGUCGCGAUCAUCUCGCGAAAGAUGUCCACGAGCCGCUCGUGAUCCGCCUUCGUCCGAAUCCCGGCGGCGUACCCGCUGGACAAGUCGUCGAGGACGUCGAGGAAGUCGUUGUACUCGUUCGCGCGAACGAAGCUGAGGUUCCUCCGCGCCGCCGCGCGCAGCUGCGCGAACGCGAGCCCCCACUGCUCCGCGUCCAACGUGCGGUCCAGCGCGUGCACGAGCGCUCGAAACCCCGGCUCCCACUCGUCCACGGACUCGGGCUCCUCCUCCGUGGUCUGAUGCCACGGCCGGACGCCGUGCCCGCCGAGCUUGGGCUUGUACGGCGGCGGGUUGUCGACUUCCUCGGGGGGGGGCGUCGGCGGCGGGAACGGCGUCGUUCCCGCCAUGACGACGCGACGUUCGCCGCCGCCGCCGCGCCUGCGCGUGGAGUGAUGGACGCGACGAGAAUGAGAGAGGGACGACUCGAAACGCGAGAGGGAGGGAGGGAGGGAGGAGGGAGGGGACGAUCGCGAUCGACGACGCGAGCGAACGACACAGCUGUGUAGGCACGUCGUCGUCGAUUGGACGCGGUGCGAUCGAUUCCCGCUCGGAUCAGCUUCGCCUUUACAUGUCAUGUGCGCGUUGGCGACACUUCCGGGCGGCACGCGAGCGCCGGCGCGUCUUCACGACGUCGAUAUCACCCCCGCUCGACCGCGCGACGAAUGAGCGCGAGCCGAGUCUGCGGCGCCGUCUGUAUGCUUCGACGGCACCGCGCGCUUUUCGUGGCUCGCGACGAUCGCAGCGCGGCGCUGUCGCCCGCCUUUGCGCGACGCCGCGCCCACGGAAGCAGGGGCGGGCCGGAGAAACGGGCGGCCGCGCGGCCGCGGACGGGGGGUUCGCAUCGACGACGAUCCGAGGCCAACGCUCGCGCGCGCGAGCCCGGACGCCAACGCACGCUCAGACCUUUUACUAAAGAGACUCAUCACCUCCGAGCGGGGAAUCGAACCCGCCGCGACGACGACGCGCGGCGGAAAGAGGAGGCUGACGGGCGAGAAGAGGAAGGCGAGAAGAGACGCGCCUGCUCCGCCUCCGACGCGGUACGACGCGCGUGCCGCGCGCGUCUCGGUGUGCGUCGCGCGAGGAGGGGCGAUCGCGCGCGGAUGAAAAUUCAAUCUGAUACUCGUCUUUGGGGUGUACAACAGAAACAAACGCUGCUAAACGCGGGAGGGACCCGCUCCGCCCUCUCGUCGCUCUUCGUCAAUCCAAAACGUUCAUGACGUAACUCCCGAUCGCCGCGUCCUGCGCGCCGGUCCCCGUGAGGUCGCACACGAUCAGCUCCUUCCCUUGCCGCCCCUUCUUGCUGCCGUUGAUGAUCUCCCCGAGCUCCGCGUGGACGUCCGACUCCUUCAUGACGCCCGCGGCGACGGCGCUUCGGACCUCGCCGACGCGGACGCACUGCGCGGUGAUGUCCGUGAUGACCUUCGCUUUCUUCAUCACCUCGGGCGGGAUCUCGUUCUUCGUGGGCUGAUCGGACCCGGACGCGAUGAUCGUCGCGUGCGGUUUCAACCACGCGAGGUCGAGGACCCACUCGCCGCCGGGAGUUUGCGUGAAGACGACGUCCGCGUUUCGCACCGCCUCCUCCGCGGAGUCGCACGCUUUGAAGUCGUACCCGAGCUCCUUCUGCAUCUUGUCGCAGAACGCCGUCGCCUUGUCGAUGUUCCUGGAGUAUCCGUACCCUUGCUCGAACCCGUACACGGUCGCCGUGGAGCGCGCCAUGGACUCCGCGAUGACGCCCGUGCCGAUGAACGCGACGGACUUGGCGCCCUUCACCGCGAGAUGCUUGACGCACACGGCGCCCGCCGCGCCCGUGCGCAUGUCCGUGAGGUAGCGGUUCUCGUGAAGGACCGCCUUCGGGCCGCCGUUCGUGGCGUCGCAGACGACGAACACGCCGCUGCCCGCGGGAAGGCCUUUCUCGACGUUCUUGUAGAAGCUCACGCACGCGAGCUUUACCGUCCACGUCGGCGCGCCUUCGAUGUAUCCGCCCUUGAUGUGGCAGUCCCCGGGGCCGGCGGCGGCGGUUUCCGCGAUCCCGAUGUGCAUCGGGAGCGGGACGUCGACUUUCCCUUUCGCGAGCUCCGCGAACGCGGCCUCGACGGACUCCGUGAGCUCCUUGUUCGGCUUCACCUUCGACACGAUCGUGUCGUAAUCGUACAGUUUCGGCGCGGGCAGGCGCGGCUUCGAAGGGUCCGCGUUGGCGGCUUCGCCCGGGCGGACGCCGUCGAGGACUUCCAUGACGUAGCUCCCGAUCGCGGCGUCUUGCGCGCCCGUGCCGGUGAGGUCGCACACGAUCCUCUCGUUCCCGACGCGGCCUUCGCGCUCGCCGGAGAUGAUCUGACCAAUCUCCGCGUGGACGUUCGCCUCGGUCAUGAGCCCGGCUUCGAUCGCGGAUCGAAGCUCGCCGACGCGGCUGCACUGCGCGGUGAUGUCCGUGACAACCUUGGCGUUCAUCAAAAUCUCCGGCGGGAUCUCGUUCUUCGUGGGCUGAUCGGACCCGGACGCGAUGAUCGUCGCGUGCGGUCGGAGCCACUGCUCUUCGAGGACCCACUCCCCGCCGGGGGUUUGCGUGAAGACGACGUCCGCGUUUCGCACCGCGUCCUCAGCCGUCGCGCACGCGUAAAACGGGUACCCGAGCUCCUUCGUCAUCUUCUUGCAGAAGCUGCUGCUCUUCUGCGGCGAGCGCGCGUACGCGAACGCUUCUUCGAACCCGUGCACGGUCGCCGUGGCUUUCGCCAUCGCCUCGGCGAUGACGCCCGUGCCGAUGAACGCGACGGACUUGGCGUCGGGGGCGAGAUGCUUGACGCACACGGCGCCCGCCGCGCCCGUGCGCAUGUCCGUGAGGUAGCGGUUCUCGUGAAGGACCGCCUUCGGGCCGCCGUUCGUGGCGUCGCAGACGACGAACACGCCGCUGCCCGCGGGAAGGCCUUUCUCGACGUUCUUGUAGAAGCUCACGCACGCGAGCUUUACCGUCCACGUCGGCGCGCCUUCGAUGUAUCCGCCCUUGAUGUGGCAGUCCCCGGGGCCGGCGGCGGCGGUUUCCGCGAUCCCGAUGUGCAUCGGGAGCGGGACAUCGACUUUCCCUUUCGCGAGCUCCGCGAACGCGGCCUCGACGGCUUCGACCAACGCCCUCGCGGGCUUGACGUUGUUCACGAUCGUGUCGUAGUCGUACAACACCGGCGCGGGGAGCCUCUGCGGCCCAGAGCUCGGCUUCGCGACGUCGGCGGCGUUGGCGGAGGUCGGAAACGAAAUCGGAGACGACAUCGGCGCCGCCGCGGUGUUCGUCAGCGCGCUCUUCGGCCGCGUGAAGUCAACCUUGUACCUCGCGGAGAGUUCUUCGUAGAGCGUGUCCGCCAUCGCGAUGCCGGUCAGCUCGCACGUCACGUCGACUUGGACGCUGUGCGAGUCCUCCUGAAGCCAAGCUCUCUCGUGGUUGAUUUGUUUGAUUGACGCGCCGACCUCCGCGAUGACCGCGGUGAGGCCGGCGAUCCCGCCCGGGCGGUCCGGAACGACGACGGAAAACCGACACAGGCGGCCGUCGUUCACGAGUCCGCGCUCGAGCGUGUUCCCGAGCGUGUUCGUGUCGAUGUUCCCGCCGCACAACAGGACGACGACGGUCUUCCCUUCGAGCUCCGGAAGCUUCCCCGCGAGACACGCGGCCAUACCCGCGGCGCCCGCGCCCUCUUGCACGAGCUUCUCGCACUCCACGAGCCUCAACAACCCGACGGAGAUGUCCCUCUCGCUGACGGUGACGAGCUUGUCGACGCGCGGGCGGCACACCUCGAACGACCGCGGGCCCACGGUGGGAACCGCUAGGCCGUCCGCGAGCGUCGGGCCGGGCAUGUCGAACUUGACCACCUUACCCGCGGCGAACGCCGCCGCCAUCGAGGGGCACCGAUCCGGUUCGACGCCGAUGACCAUGACGUUCGGGUUGAUCGUCUUCACCGCGAGCGCGACGCCGGCGAUGAGCCCGCCGCCGCCGACGGGGACGACGAUCGCGUCCACGUCUUUGAUGUCCUCGAGAAUCUCGAGGCCGACGCUCCCGGCGCCGGCGAUGAUGUUGAAGUCGUCGAACCCGUUGAUGUACUUCAUCCCUUGGUUCUCCACGAAUCGCUUCGCCGCGAGCGCGGCGUCCGCGAUGGAGUCGCC